rnacentral:lncRNA from 1 species
AAGGCAAAGAAGUAAAGUAAGCAAUCAAUAAUCAAAGCUAUUGUUAAAUCAAACUAAUUAAUUACAAAUUUCCAAUAUAUAUAAAUCAUUCUGUUCUCCCUGUCCUUGUUCCUUCCUCUGGCGUCCAAACCCACUUCUCCUUAAGCCACGGUUAUCAUCACUGAUUACAGAACAAUUAUUCGAAAUAAACCUAAAUCACAACAAAAGUAAUACCAAGAACAAGAAUAAGAAGCUAUACAUCUGAUAUUUUAGUCUGGUGUGACCCUUGCGAGACAACAAUAACUACCCUUGCUCUGUUCUUGGUGUUUAGAAGAAGGAAGACAACAGGAGUCACAAAUUGCAGAGGCAAUAGAAUCAAACAUCAUGCUUUUCACUAACCUCCUCUUCUUUGGAAUCAAGCUAUCAUUUUUGGGUUUAAAAUAAAGGUCUUUCUUGGAUUUGAUCGCUUCCCCACUAGCUGGGCUGUUCUUGACUUCCAUCUCUGCCUCCUUUUUUUGUCCUUCUG